AGCUCUUCCUCUCGCUCUCGAACGCAGACGCCUGAUCGGAGGAGCGCUGGCGUUCGUAAGCGAGCUCCGCCUUCAGACGAUCGUUCUGCUGCUCUGAGGCUGUCAGCUCCUCGCUGUCGUCGGUGCGCAGACACUGGAACCAGUCUCGGAGGUCCGUCCGCACAAGUCGAACCCACAAACAGAUGAUUAUCGUUCCCGUCUCUUAUCAAGUCCUCGUGUGAAUAUGAGCGAGUGGCUCUGCCGGCGGCGUUCCUCCUCUUGCUGGACGGAGUCUGACUUCCCUGUGAGGUUUCGGACAGCAGGCGUCCGGAGCCCGGCGUGCCCUUGCGGAAUUUGGUGCUGACCUCUAUGUUAGCGCGGUCAGGAUAAGUGACGUGACUCUGCAUCAUGCUGCUGACGGCACCCAUCGCUCCCAUCAGAGGAGGCGAGGCGGGGUGGAGACGCGGGUCCAGGCCUGCUCCCGGAUGGUCAGUGGACACGGGCAGAGACUGGACCAGCGCCAUGACCGAUGACACGUGACCUCAGAAAACCUGCACGGAGAAGAAGAGAAACCAUGACCAUCGUAACGGAGGAGGAGUGUGAGGUAAAGGCGGUGGACACCAGGGUUCACUGAGGGACAACAACACCGAGCCAAGGGCCACCGAUCAUGUUAGGACCAAAAUGUUUGCAUGUUGUUUAUGUUAUUGUUGUUAAAAGAGUCACAAAAUAAAUAUUCAGAUUUUUCUCCCUAGUAGUCUGUUUUAUUCUAACAAUUAUACACAUUUUUGUAUUCAAAUAGAGAAAACUAAAGAACUUUGCCUGUUAAAUAUCAAAACAAAUUAACAAACAAAAAAUCUGGAACUUCAUGAUCUGCUCAUCUGGAUCUCUUCUCUACACUUUUCCUAAAUGCAGAUUCAGUUAUUAGAUCUGUCAGCAUUAAUAUUUUUAUACUUUGUAUUUUUUUUUGAGGGGUCCAAACUGUAACACUGUGUCCCAACCAGAUGUGAUAAAAUGUAUCUUUCGCCAUGUAGUUUUUGUCAGUGUUGAGGUUAAUGCAUUACAAGUAACUCCAGUUACAUAAUCAUAAGUACUUUUUUUGUUCAAGUAACUAGUAAAGUAACGCAUUACUUUUUCAUUUACAAGAAUAUUUCAGAGUUACUUUUUCAAAUAAGUAACGCCAGUUACUUUGUUUUCCUAUUUAUUCACUGACCGCUCUUCUGUGCUCAUGUUGUGAAAAGUCAGGAGUAAGUACAGAGGCAUUCAAUGUGUGCCCUGAGUAUGGUAAGUUCUAUGUGAGCAUGCAUUAAUUCAUCUCACUUCGACAAAAACAGAUUCAGUAAACCUCCAAAUGAAUAAAGAACAGUGAAAUGCAAACUCUGAAUAUGACGCAAAUCUGCAAUACUUAAAUGGUUAAUAACACAAAUAUCUUUUAUGUAUUUAACCCCAUUUUAUUAAACAAUGUCUUUGCUGCUGAGCUUCGAUUAUCAAAUGCAUUCAUACUAAUAAGCAAAAAUUACUUUAGAUAAACUAACAUUUGUGCUAAUAAAAAAAAUUAUUGCUGAA